AUGGCCUCCAAACAGGCUGUGCAUAUGAAGCAUGGCCAAGGCGAAACAAGCUAUGCUCGCAACUCCAGUUUUCAGAGAGCUGAGCAGAACAGGAUGAAGCCCCUGAUAGAAGUGGUCAUCACCGACUUAUGCAGCAGCACUAGUACCUUGUUGCACGGAAAAAUAGUGAUCGCGGACUUGGGAUGCUCCUGUGGUCCAAAUGCUCUAGCACUGGUAUCGACUGCCAUCAAUGCCAUCCACAACCAUUGCCUUCAGAUACAGCAGCCACCACCGGAAAUAUAUGUGCUACUCAAUGACCUUCCUGACACCGACUUCAACACGGUGGUGAAGAGCUUGGUCACACUCCGUCAAAGCAAGAACCCUGUUGUCGUGACUGGUGUUGCACCGGGAUCAUUUUACGAGCGGCUCUUCACUAGUAACUCACUGCAUGUUGUUUGCGCGUCGAACAGCUUGCAAUGGCUAUCAAAGGCUCCCGAAGUUCUAACGAGAAACCGCAUCCCAGCUUUCGACAUUGAUGAGCAUGCUAGGCGUGAAAUGCUCCCAAUGGUCCGUGAGGCUUAUGAACAACAAUUUAGGAAAGAUUUCAAGCUUUUCCUCGAGCUGAGAGCCAAAGAGUUGGUCUCAGGAGGCCGAAUGGUUAUUUCCCUGGUAGGGACGCGUUCUGAUGUAAUCGCCUCCAAAUUCUCUCUUUUCCCGGGAAUUGUAGCUCAGAUUCUAAGUGUAAUGGUCGCGGAGGGUGUGAUCGACAAAGCAAAAUUUGAUUCUUUCUAUGUGCCGCUCCAUGGAUCUUCCAUCGAAGAGGCAAGGGAGAUCAUCAAAGAAGAGGGGUCCUUUUCGAUCAAGAAGAUGCGUGUCCAUGACCCUACGGCUGAAAUGAACAUUGCUCUAAGCAGCCCAAGCAAGUUUGUGAAUAAUCUGAUAGCCUUAUUUGAGCCGAUAAUAGUCCAGCAUUUUGGAGAGGUUAUGGAUGAAUUUGUGAGGGCGGCAGAGCUGCACUGUAGUCUGGAUGUGGAUGGGUGCUUGCGAGAGGAGCGGGCAAGAACCUCUCGAGCUAUGCUGGUUGUAUCGCUCGCAAAGGCAUGA
rnacentral:rRNA from 1 species